AUCAAAUGAAGACCUCCUAACUUUGUUUGAUAGAAAAUCCUAAACUUUUUCAUAAUAAUCUCCCUAUAAGAGCCACCAAAACCGGUGGCUUUUUU
rfam:Streptococcus sp. HSISM1 chromosome, whole genome shotgun sequence.